rnacentral:rRNA from 1 species
UGCGUAGGUGGCGCCGUAAGUCGGGUGUGAAAUUUCGGAGCUUAACUCCGAAACUGCAUUCGAUACUGCGGUGCUUGAGGACUGGAGAGGAGACUGGAAUUCAUGGUGUAGCAGUGAAAUGCGUAGAGAUCAUGAGGAAGACCAGUGGCGAAGGCGGGUCUCUGGACAGUUCCUGACACUGAGCACGAAGGCCAGGGGAGCAAACG